rnacentral:rRNA from 1 species
GAUGAAUGCUGGCGGCGUGCCUAACACAUGCAAGUCGAGCGGCAGCGAGUUUUACACUGAAUUCUGGAAGCUUCUGAGUAGUACAGAAGAUUUAUUCAAGAGUUUUGUGUAAAAUGUCGGCGAGCGGCGGACGGCUGAGUAACGCGUAGGAAUUUGCCCCAAAGUGAGGAAUAACUGCCCGAAAGGCUAGCUAAUGCCGCAUAUGGUCUUCGGAUUAAAGCCUUCGGGCGCUUUGGGAGAAGCCUGCGUUGGAUUAGGUAGUUGGUAGGGUAAUGGCCUACCAAGCCGACGAUCCAUAGCUGGUCUGAGAGGAUGAUCAGCCAGACUGGAACUGAGACACGGUCCAGACUCCUACGGGAGGCAGCAGUGAGGAAUCUUCCACAAUGGGCGAAAGCCUGAUGGAGCAACGCCGCGUGAAGGAUGAAGGCCUUCGGGUUGUAAACUUCUUUUAUGAGUGAAGAAUAUGACGGUAACUCAUGAAUAAGCACCGGCUAACUACGUG